UCGAGCGUAGGGUUUCUUCGAAUCCGAGAUCUCUGGUUCCUUCCUUCCUUGCUCCCUCUUUGUUCUUCUCCUUGGCGGUCUCGGUUUCACCAGGGGAGGGGAAGAUGUCGUUUGGGUUGCCGGCGUACGGCCUCCAGGCGAUGCUGAAGGAAGGGCACGAGCACCUCCCGGGGCUCGACGAGGCCGUCCUCAGGAACAUCAUCGACGCCUGAAAGCAGCUUUCCUACAUCACCCGCACCUCCCUCGGUCCCAACGGUAAGAACAAAACAAGUGAUGCUGCCACAAUAGCGGAUGAGCUUGAGGUCCAGCAUCCUGUUGCAAAGAUUUUGGUGCUAGCAGGAAAGGCCCAGCGGGAGGAGAUUGGUGAUCGGGCCACACCCUAGUGAAAUAAUAAGUGGUUAUACGAAAGCAAUUAAUAAGGUUCUUUCUUUCGUUAUCCUAUAUUACUUCAUUGUUGACCUAUAAAAUCCAAGAUACCCCCAAAAAACACCCAAACUAACAAAAGAAGAAAGAAAACACAGGACAGAAAACUAGCUCUUCCUAGGAGUGGGUAUAGACUGAGGGGUAGACAGUGUACUCAUUAUUAACAAGUUGGACUAACUUACCAAACUUGAUACUUGGAUGGUUCAACCGAGUAUCAUAAUCUCUAACUUACCAUAGUAGAUAAGAGUAGCUUGGACUUCAAACUCUUGCUGAAAAUGCCAGGCUUAAUGCAUUGGAGAUAAUAUCUUGCUUGUUCGCCAAGCAUGCUGCUGGAAAUGCUAGAGCAAAAGAAGGGGUCUCCAAGGAUGUCUUGACCAUGAAUAUCUAAUACAUCUAUGCAACCAAGUUAGGCCCUCUCGACAUCUCUUUCCUUCAAUUAUUUAGUCGUUGAACUGGAAGCUGCAAUACUUUUGCUGUUUGCAUCUGCUAAACCAGUAUUAUAAUCGGAAGAAAGUGUAUGCUGUUACUGGAAGUUCCUCUUUCAUUCUUUUUCUUUCUCCCUUUCUUUCUGGGUUUUUUUGUAACUUGUAGGGUGAUCUGGCUUGGAACAUGAUAUUGAUUGUUAUUCUUCGAACCGAUAUAUGGAUCUCUGGAUUUCUGUUUAAGAGUUUCUAACAAGUCAAAUGUGAUCAAUGUCUUUAGAGAGUGGUGCUUUCUUUUACCUUUUUUUUGUGUAUAAGGUGGUUAAGGUGCUCAAACUUGUAGCUUGGAAUAGUUAUUGACCACACGAAUCCCCGAUUCCUUUGUGACAGAUAUAGUCUUUGAAUAUGCUGCUGAUGUUGCCUGUACUCUUCUCUGGGUUAAUCAACUGAGUCACAUUUCAAUCUCAUGGUUCCUUCUGAAUUCACUCGUUGCGCAUCGAUCAUAAAGGCCAAGUCAGCAGGUGGGCCAAAAAGAGAUCAAUCGACUAGCAUGGAUGAGGAUUAACUUCUUCUUGGAUUUUUUAAGAGCAUUGUUACUGACAAUGCUGCAGCUAAAAGUGUCGUAUCCGUUUUUAGCCAUGCAUGUCACACAAAGUUUUGAUGCAACGGAUAUCUGAGCAAAGUUCAGCUACAGAAGCCAGUGGCUUUGUGGCACUAGUAAUUGCUUUCGAGGGAAGAUUUGCAGUUCUCUGAAUCUGGUGCACUGGUUUUGAACAUCAGAACAUUUCAUUGUUCUCAAUCAGAAGGUUUCAUGCACGAGUUUCCUGAAUUGUUCCUAUGAUGUAAUCGUGCCAGCUUAGGGUUGCGACACCGUAUUGUGCUGGCUGUCAUCAGUAUCAAAGUAUCAUUCUUAGCAAUGUUGUAUUAGUCAAAUAAAAUUAGGGUUUUUUGUUUGCAACUAUGUAGGAUAAAUCAUAGUGUUCUUUGUAUUGUAGGUUUGACAGUUUUGAAAAUUUUGAAGUAAUAUGAAUUUGUACUUAAAAUGUGAUCUAUUUUU